rnacentral:rRNA from 1 species
GACGAACGCUGGCGGCGUGCCUAAUACAUGCAAGUCGAACGAACUCUGGUAUUGAUUGGUGCUUGCAUCAUGAUUUACAUUUGAGUGAGUGGCGAACUGGUGAGUAACACGUGGGAAACCUGCCCUGAAGCGGGGGAUAACACCUGGAAACAGAUGCUAAUACCGCAUAACAACUUGGACCGCAUGGUCCGAGCUUGAAAGAUGGCUUCGGCUAUCACUUUUGGAUGGUCCCGCGGCGUAUUAGCUAGAUGGUGGGGUAACGGCUCACCAUGGCAAUGAUACGUAGCCGACCUGAGAGGGUAAUCGGCCACAUUGGGACUGAGACACGGCCCAAACUCCUACGGGAGGCAGCAGUAGGGAAUCUUCCACAAUGGACGAAAGUCUGAUGGAGCAACGCCGCGUGAGUGAAGAAGGGUUUCGGCUCGUAAAACUCUGUUGUUAAAGAAGAACAUAUCUGAGAGUAACUGUUCAGGUAUUGACGGUAUUUAACCAGAAAGCCACGGCUAACUACGUGCCAGCAGCCGCGGUAAUACGUAGGUGGCAAGCGUCGUCCGGAUUUAUUGGGCGUAAAGCGAGCGCAGGCGGUUUUUUAAGUCUGAUGUGAAAGCCUUCGGCUCAACCGAAGAAGUGCAUCGGAAACUGGGAAACUUGAGUGCAGAAGAGGACAGUGGAACUCCAUGUGUAGCGGUGAAAUGCGUAGAUAUAUGGAAGAACACCAGUGGCGAAAGGCGGCUGUCUGGUCUGUAACUGACGCUGAGGCUCGAAAGUAUGGGUAGCAAACAGGAUUAGAUACCCUGGUAGUCCAUACCGUAAACGAUGAAUGCUAAGUGUUGGAGGGUUUCCGCCCUUCAGUGCUGCAGCUAACGCAUUAAGCAUUCCGCCUGGGGAGUACGGCCGCAAGGCUGAAACUCAAAGGAAUUGACGGGGGCCCGCACAAGCGGUGGAGCAUGUGGUUUAAUUCGAAGCUACGCGAAGAACCUUACCAGGUCUUGACAUACUAUGCAAAUCUAAGAGAUUAGACGUUCCCUUCGGGGACAUGGAUACAGGUGGUGCAUGGUUGUCGUCAGCUCGUGUCGUGAGAUGUUGGGUUAAGUCCCGCAACGAGCGCAACCCUUAUUAUCAGUUGCCAGCAUUAAGUUGGGCACUCUGGUGAGACUGCCGGUGACAAACCGGAGGAAGGUGGGGAUGACGUCAAAUCAUCAUGCCCCUUAUGACCUGGGCUACACACGUGCUACAAUGGAUGGUACAACGAGUUGCGAACUCGCGAGAGUAAGCUAAUCUCUUAAAGCCAUUCUCAGUUCGGAUUGUAGGCUGCAACUCGCCUACAUGAAGUCGGAAUCGCUAGUAAUCGCGGAUCAGCAUGCCGCGGUGAAUACGUUCCCGGGCCUUGUACACACCGCCCGUCACACCAUGAGAGUUUGUAACACCCAAAGUCGGUGGGGUAACCUUUUAGGAACCAGCCGCCUAAGGUGGGACAGAUGAUUAGGGUG